AAGUACUCAUCUAUUCCCCGUAAUUAAGCAUCACACCUCGUAAUCUCCUCUCCCAAAAUCAAGGAGAAUGAAAUCCCAGGAGCCGCCCCUCCCCAUUAAUCCUGCCAUAGCCAUACUCAUCGAGCGAAUCGACCCAUCGGCCAUCGUCCUGCAGGUGCCUCCGCGAGAAUGGAACCGGCGACGUCGCCACCGGCCUCAAACUCCUGCCUCUAGAUCCUCCUCCUCCAGCCCUCCCCAACUCUGGGUCGCGGCUUGCCGGCAGUGGGCACGGCGGUGUUGUGGUAGUGACGACUAACGAGCGCGCCGGCAAGAGGGCCAAGCCAUGGCUGGAAUCCCAUCGCGAUGAUCAAUGGCUUCUCAAGAUGGAGACGAAGGCUCGGCUGUGGCUGGUGCAGGGAAUUUUACCUCAGCUGAUCCUUCGUCUCAACGUGCUACACCAAUAUCUGAAGCUACUCCGAUAUCUCAAGCUGCUACUCCAACAUCUCGAGCUGCUACUGUAACAUCUCAAGCUACAUCUAGCAGAGCUGGUUCUAAGAGGAAGCGAACAUCGGCAGUAUGGGAUGAGAUGGAAGAGAAAUUAGAAAAUGGAAAACUGAAAGCCGAGUGCAAUCAUUGUCACAGAAAAUUUACUGCAGGACCUAGAGCUGGCACAACUCACUUGCGUGUACAUUUGGAAUCUUGUCCUGCUAAGCAUGCACCCAUUGGUCCACAACAACAAAAAUUGAGGUUGACCAAAGGUGAAGGUGGCAAAGUGAAUAUGGAAAAUGUCAUUUUUGACCAAGAGAAGGCUAGGAGAGAUCUUGCAUUGAUGAUAUGUGAACAUGAGUAUCCUCUAUCUAUUGUGGAUCAUAGUGGUUUUCGUAGAUUUUGUUCUUCUUUGCAGCUGAUGUUUAAGAUGGUGUGCAGAAAUACUAUUAGGAAUGAUAUUGUGGCUAUGCAUUCUGCUCAAAAGGAGAAGAUGGUGAAUUUUUUUUGCAACAUUCAAGCACCGAGUGGCUGUCACUACAGAUUUGUGGACAGCGGGCUAUCAAAAGAGAGGUUACAUGGCUGUUACCGCGCACUAUAUAGAUGAUUCUUGGAACCUAAAGAGCUUGCUUAUGAGGUUUGCUUAUGUGCCCUGUCCACAUUCAGCUGAGGUUAUAUGUGAAGCCUUGUAUGAGUGUCUUGUUGAGUGGCACCUUGAGAGGAAGAUCUCCACCGUCACUUUGGACAACUGCACAUCAAAUGACAAGGCUAUGGGAAUAUUGCCAGAUAAGUUGGAUACAAGCUCUCUCAUGCUGGAUGGUCAAUUACUGCAUAUGCGUUGUGCCGCUCACAUAUUAAACUUAUUAAUUGUAAAAGAUGGAAUGAGUGUCUUAGAGAAAGGUAUAGAGAGGUUGUGAGACAAUGUUGCAUUUUGGUCAGCCACACCUAAAAGGCAUGAGAAGUUUGAAAAGAUGGCAAAAACUUUAAACAUAGAGUAUAACAAAAGGUUAACUCUUGAUUGUAAGACUAGAUGGAAUUCAACUUAUAUCAUGAUUAGCAUUGCAGUACGAUACAUAGAGAUAUUUGAAAAAUUAAAGGCACGUGAAAAGAAGUUUAAGUGUUGCCCAACCAAAGAUGAUUGGAAGUUUGCAAAAGAAAUAUGUGAUAGGCUGAAGCUCUUCUUUGAUAUCACCGAGUCAUUCUCGGGCACGAAGUAUGUCACAACAAAUCUUUUUUUCCCUAAAGUGAUUACCAUUCGCUUUGCCAUAAGGAAAUGGGGUAAGAGUGACAUUGAGCUUAUACAAAAAAUGUCCGAGGAAAUGAAGGAUAAGUUUGAGAAGUAUUGGAAAGAUAUCCAUGGUCUGAUGUCUGUUGCAACAGUUCUUGAUCCAAGGUAUAAACUUCAUAUCCUCAAUGCUCUUUAUGGUCCCCUCUAUGGAAGAGAGCAUGCAGCCACAGAAAUAGAGAAGGUGAAGAAGUUAUUGAUUCAAUUGGUGAAGCAAUAUAAAGAUGAAGUUGAAGGCGAGGAUGCAUGGGAUGCUUCUGUUGCCGAUCCACUUGGAGAAGAAGAUGAAGCCAUGAAACUCUAUGAUCAGUAUUUGUCUAGUCACCCCACUGUCCCUUCUUCUUCAAUCCAUACAGAAUUAGACUUGUAUUUGGAAGAAGCUCGUCUACCUAGAACGCAAGAAUUGGAUAUCAUCAAUUGGUGGAAGGUUAGCGGCUCUAGGUUUCCUACCUUGAAAAACUUGCUCGUGAUAUAUUGCCUAUUCCCAUAACAUCAGUGGCUUCCGAAUGUGUGUUCAGCACUAGUGGCAGAGUACUCAGUGCACAUCGUAGUAGACUUACUCCUAAUGUGGCUGAAGCUCUCAUGUGCAUGUAAGCUUGGUCUCGUGCAGAUCUGUUAGGUGGUUGGAAUUCUACACUCUUUGCAACAUUUCAGAGUGUUCUCGAGGAUGAAGAAGAGGAGAUGGAUGAGUCUACUUCAAUCAUCACCCAGGAGUGAAGAUAUUGCUGUUGUUUGUGCUUGGUUGGAACUUGGAAGCUGAUGGCUGCUAUUUGUGCUGGUUGGUGGCUUGUGUCUGUUAUCUGCUGCAGCUGCUCUUUGUGUUGGCUCAUCGGUGCCUCGGAUGUUUUUAUUUAUUACUUGUCGGAUGUUAUUUGGUGAAGUGUGUCGUGAGUUUGUGAACCUAUGUUAAAGUUCACCAAUUGUCAAUUUGAAUUGAGAUAAUUGCCAUGUACUCA